GGGCCUAUGGCGCAGCUGGGAGCGCGCUUGAAUGGCAUUCAAGAGGUCGGGGGUUCGAAUCCCCCUAGGUCCA
rnacentral:tRNA from 1 species